UGUAUCUCAAAGAAUGGAAGAAAAAAAGUGAGAGACAACAAAAACUAGAUGCUUAAUUAGGUUUAAAAAUAAAGUAGGAGAGGGCUCCGGAAGCGCUGUGCACGAGAAGAUGGUGCUGGAAGCUGGCGAUACGGAAGACGGGCAACUUUCCAGCUCCGAUUCCUACAUGACAGUCGUACCCAGCGACAGACCACUGCCAGUGCCGAAAGUGCUAGGUGGGGACAGUGUGCUGAGAGCUUUCCAGAGUACUGCGACAGUAUGUGUACCAGUGUCACAUUACCGGAUUGUUAAAAGCGUGGAUUCAAGUGAAGAGAGUUUUUCCAAUUCAGAUGAAGAUUAGCUCUCUUUGGAAACGGAAAUGACAGAAAUGUCUUAAUCCUCCUCCCAAAGGAGAGCCUUUUCAGUUUGGCCAGAGCAGUCAGAAAACAGCUGUUGCUGGAGGAAAGAAGGUGAACAACAACAUAUGGGGUGCUGUGCUGCAGGAACAGAGUCAGGAUGCAGUGGCCACUGAACUUGGCAUCUUGGGAAUGGAGGGCACCAUUGACAGAAACCGGCAAUCUGGGACCUACAGUUACUUGCUCUAAGAAAGAGGAGGGAAUCUCAAGAGUGUACAAAAGAACUAGACAAAGAGCUAGAUGACUAUACAGGGUGGCAAAAAACCAGGGUCGAAGGAAGAAGACAAUGGGCAGGGCCAUCUCAAACAGAAAAGGCCUGUCAAAGACAGACUAGGGGACAGGCUAGAAAUGAACUAUAAAAGACGGUAUGAGAUCACAUAAGAUUCUCAAGAGAAAGUGGCUGAUAAGAUUUCUUUCAGGUUACAAGAACCAAAGAAAGGUCUGAUAGCCCGAGUAGUGAGGAUAAUUGGGAACAAAAAAGCCACUGAACUUCUGAAGGAAACUGGUGAAGUUGAACAGAAUGGUAGUCUUUUCAGAAUGAACCGUAGUCGAAGAAGAACACCAGGUGGGUUCUUUCUGAAUCUCCUGAAAAACACUCCUAGUAUCAGCGAAGAACAGAUUAAGGACAUUUUCUACAUUGAAAUUCAAAAGGAGUAUGAAAAUAAAAAAGCUGCUAGAAAAACAACACAGCUAUUAGGGAAAAAAAUGAAACAAACUAUUAAAAGUCUCAGUUUUCAGGAGGACGAUGAUACAUCACGAGAAACUUUUGCAAGUGACACAAAUGAGGCCCUGGCUUCCACCGAUGAACCUCAGGAAGGAAAUGGGGACGCCAGGGUGGAUGCUGAGGAAGCCAUUGAGGUGGACCAUCAUCACGAUUUGGACAUCUUUUAAGCACAUUUUGGACAUUUUAAAGAAUAAACCUUUCUAAAAUGACAUCGUAGCAAAUUUUUCUAUUGAAGUUGCUUUACUUUGCACCUAAUCUAGAGAAAGGAGAGCUGUUUCUUGUUUUAAGUAAAAAGCUAAUGUAUGUGGAGUGGAAUGUCAUUUCGGGAAAUGAUUAAAGGCAACUGUAUCUGAAAAAAAAAAAAGUAGGAGAGAU